UGGGAGAUGGGUGGGUUGGUAAAGCAUAAGAGAAUCAAUAUUUCUCACUGUUUUUGCCGAUUCCACCCAUUCCUAUGA
rnacentral:pre_miRNA from 1 species